AUAUCGACUCAUUUUUCUUUUUCCUUCUCUCUUUCCCGAUAAUAUCUCUGCAAGGCUAGAUCGACCAGAACGACAAUCAGAGGAGAUGGAUGGUUAUAUGAGGUGAUCGGAAGUUUUAUCAUCAUCUCCACCGUGGCCGAGUGUCAACGUCGACUGUGGUGCAGCUAAUCGGCGAGUCGAUUCAUGGAAAACGGUUAAUUUGGAGAAACUGCAAUUGGAGAUGGUUUAUGAGCUGGUUUGGAAGAAAUCAAAUCAGUCUACUACUUCACUGACCAACUCCACACUUUUAGCUUCAAAUGCAGCUCCUAACAAGGAUUUCCCUCCGAUCACCAACUAGUUAUUUCGUGUUUUUACUAAAAGCUCUGACAAAUAUUGGCAGGGGCUAGAUGGUGAAGCUACAGAGCCUAUGAUCAAGGAAUUGGAAGAAGAUAGAGAAGAAUCACAAGAUCCAGAGAUUGAGUUUGCAAUAGCAGGUGCAGUUCGAGAAUAUGGUGGUCUGGAAAUUUUACUUGAUAUGAUCAAGAGUUUGCGAGAUGACUUCAAAUCUAACCAUAACCAAGAAGAGAUGGUUGCAGUUCUUGAUCUCUUAAACCAUUGCUGCAAGAUUAGAGAGAACAGGCGAUCCUUACUUAACAUAUGGCGAGCCUGCAGCUAUGGAAGCACUCAUAGAGCAUUUUAGCCAUUACCUGCAAAACUGGUCGGAAUUUGAUCAGCUUCAGUAACGUCAUGAGGAGAACCCCAAGGACGACACCAUUGCUCAGCAAGCGGCGAAGCAGAAGUUUACUGUGGAGAAUUUUGUCCCUUUUUCCAUAAUUUUGUCCCUUGGUCGGAAUUUGAUCAGCGGCGAAACAAUAUUUGAACUCUCAACCUCUCUUUUAUAUUGUUUCUUGUGAUCAGUUUGGUUAGAGAGACCAUGGUAGACUUGUGAGGAGCAAAAAAUUUAAAAAGUAAAAACCCCAAUAAGAACUUCACCAUUGGAGGAGCAAAAUUUUAAUAACU